GGGGAAUAUUGGACAAUGGGCGAAAGCCUGAUCCAGCAAUGCCGCGUGAGUGAUGAAGGCCUUAGGGUUGUAAAGCUCUUUUACCCGGGAUGAUAAUGACAGUACCGGGAGAAUAAGCUCCGGCUAACUCCGUGCCAGCAGCCGCGGUAAUACGGAGGGAGCUAGCGUUAUUCGGAAUUACUGGGCGUAAAGCGCACGUAGGCGGCUUUGUAAGUUAGAGGUGAAAGCCUGGAGCUCAACUCCAGAAUUGCCUUUAAGACUGCAUCGCUUGAAUCCAGGAGAGGUGAGUGGAAUUCCGAGUGUAGAGGUGAAAUUCGUAGAUAUUCGGAAGAACACCAGUGGCGAAGGCGGCUCACUGGACUGGUAUUGACGCUGAGGUGCGAAAGCGUGGGGAGCAAAC
rnacentral:rRNA from 1 species